rnacentral:rRNA from 1 species
GAUGAACGCUGGCGGCGUGCCUAAUACAUGCAAGUCGAGCGAACAGACGAGGAGCUUGCUCCUCUGACGUUAGCGGCGGACGGGUGAGUAACACGUGGAUAACCUACCUAUAAGACUGGGAUAACUUCGGGAAACCGGAGCUAAUACCGGAUAACAUGUUGAACCGCAUGGUUCAACAGUGAAAGACGGUCUUGCUGUCACUUAUAGAUGGAUCCGCGCCGCAUUAGCUAGUUGGUAAGGUAACGGCUUACCAAGGCAACGAUGCGUAGCCGACCUGAGAGGGUGAUCGGCCACACCGGAACUGAGACACGGUCCAGACUCCUACGGGAGGCAGCAGUAGGGAAUCUUCCGCAAUGGGCGAAAGCCUGACGGAGCAACGCCGCGUGAGUGAAGAAGGUCUUCGGAUCGUAAAACUCUGUUAUUAGGGAAGAACAAAUGUGUAAGUAACUAUGCACGUCUUGACGGUACCUAAUCAGAAAGCCACGGCUAACUACGUG